ACCAAGUGGAUUCCCUGCCCAUGAAUUAACGCUAAAAUUAAAUUGUCCAAUUAUAUUACUUCGUAAUAUUAAUACUUCUGAAGGAUUAUGUAAUGGAACACGUCUAAUAUGUCGACAAUUUGGCUCUAAUAUUAUUGAUGCUGAAAUAGUUACUGGUGAUCAUUGUGGAAAGAGAAUUUUUUUACCCAGAAUACCUUUUACUCCAUUGGAAAAUGAAAAAAAUAUAUUCCCAUUUAAACGCACUCAGUUUCCCAUUAGAUUAAGUUUUGCUAUGACUAUUAACAAAGUUCAAGGACAAACGUUAGAUUCUGUUGGUGUAUUCUUACCAGAGCCUGUUUUCUCUCAUGGACAAUUAUAUGUUGCUCUAUCUAGAGCAAAAACUUUAUCAGCUUUAAGAGUUCUCAUUAGACCACCAUCAGGCAACGAAGCUGACAAUAAUCAUACCUUGAACAUUGUUUAUGAAGAAAUCUUAUUAUUAAGCAAUACUAUAUAAAAGUUCUUAUGUAUGAUUCUCUUCUUAUACAUCUUUUCACUGUUUAUUAUCAAUAUUGAUUAUAUAUUUUAAUUUAACUUAUUACUGUUAUUUCUUUUUACAGAUCAAAGAUGAAUCCUCAGUAUAAAUUACUACGAGAAAUUACACCAUCUACUAGAGGAUGGAUAGCAAAAGUUACUGUUAUUGAAAAACUUAUCCCACGUAUCUCUUGCAAUGGAGUAUUGUACCAACGUAUAAUUCUUGCUGAUAUUGAGGUAUAUUUAUUAGAACUCAUAAAUCUAUAUAAGCUAUAUAAAUUGAAUGUAAAUUUUGUUUCAGCUAUAUAAGAUUAUUAAUUAAUUAGCUAUAAAAUCUCUACAAAAAAUACUUUCUGACAUCAUUCUCUAUAUUUCUGAUUCAUUAUAAAUAGAAAAAUCGUAUACAAGCUACUUUGUAUGGCAAUGCAAUCCAUCAUUUCGGAGAUACCUUAAAUGUUUCACAAGUCUACUUAAUUUCCAAUGCUUAUAUAAAGCCAGUACAAGAAGAGUUUAGAAUUGUUGACAACCAAUUUGAAUGGAGCCUCAAUACUUCUACAUCAAUUGAGGAAACUACUGACGAAAACCAAUGGAAUUUUGAAGAUCUCUACAACUUGUAUUAUCUUGAUCAACUAGAUGCCUACGUUGAUACAAAAACUUCUGUUGGUAAUAUUUAUAUAAUUUUAAUUUUUCAUAAUCAUUAUUAUUGUCAAAUUACUAAUGAUAUUGUUUUCAAUGUUAAUUACAGAUAUUGUUGCAGUUGUAUUAAGUGCUGAUCCAAUAAAAAAAUCCACACAAAGUCUGGACCUGCAAAUAUUCAAGAAUUUCUCCUUGUUGAUCAAAGGUUUAAAACUAAUAUGUUUUAUAGUUUUAAAAAAUUACUGCAUAUGUUAUGUUAAUUUUUAACAAAAUAUAUUUGUGCAGCUUGCAACCCAAAACUUUAACUAUGUGGGAUGAACUAACUGAGACCGUUGGAAAAACAAUAUGUGAAAUUCUUCCACAAAAUCCUAUUAUAAUAGGAACACGCCUGAAAGUUGUUUCACACAACGGUUAGAAUUAUUUCAACUAAUUAUUUAGUAUUAUUAAAAGACAUCUUAUAAUAUAUUUUUUUUAACAAUUCAAUAGGUAUAUCUUUAUCAUCCAAACAACAAAGUUCAUUUAUUAUUAAUCUUACAAAUAUUCCACAAAUAAAUGAGCUUCGUCAAUGGUAAACUAAUUCAUACUUAUUUUUUAUAAAUUAUUCUUUAUUACACUUAUCUAUAAAUAAUUCUUAUAUAUCUGAUAAUUUAAUCCUAUAAAUUAAUAGGAGCAUUAACAAUGAAGAAUACAUUGCUGCCAUUAUCAAUGAGAAAAGACUCUUCCCAAGUCAAACUGUUCUAAGAACUCCUCAAUAUAAUAAUAUCAUUACUAUUAAUGGCAUUCAAAAUCUUCCACAAGAGCAAACUACUUUUUGGAUAAAUGCAUCAAUCUCCAUCAAGAAUUUAAGACAACCCUUCUGGUACAUGACUUGCAUAAAAUGCCGCCAGAAAGCAGAUCUUGACAAUCAAACAUCAUGUUUUAACUGCUACAACUGCAACGAAUCAUCUGUUGAGACAAUUCCAAGGUGCCGCUUUCAAGCUCAACUAACAGACCACACAGGCUCACUAAUAGCAACGUUCUUCGGCGAAAAUGCAGAAAAGAUGUUAAAUUGUACCGCACAAGAGCUUAUUCACAUCCCAAGUGAUCAAAACAUAUCAUCGGUUGCAAGGCUUUCUACAGUGAGUAAAUUUUUUAUUUACUUAAAAGCAAGAGCGGAUGCAUAUAGUGGUGGGAGUCAAACCAAAUACAAUGUUAUCUCACUGCUCGAAAGUGAUAGUGAAUCAAGCACUUCAAAUACUACGAAUGAUACUUGAAGUAUCUGCAAAAUAAUAUAAAUAAAUAUAUAAAUUAUGUACAAAUAUUAUAAAUACUAUGUAAAAUAUAUUUAAAUAAUAAACAUCUUAUGUAGGACACGUUAUAUAUGUAAUUAAAACGCUUAGCAUUAAGUAACUAGCUUAUAAUUAUUAUUGUAUAAUAUAAUAUAUAUUUACACUUUUUAACUUCAUUUGAAAAUAUUAAAUCUUAAUUUCACAUUUUAUAUUUUAUCACA